rnacentral:lncRNA from 1 species
UUCUUGGAUUUGGAUGCAUUCCUUGGUAUUAUGGCCAGGGUCGUGACAGUAAAGACAGUACUUAUUUGGAUUGUACUGAUCUGAUUGGGACCGUAUCCUCCUUGUCUAGGAAAAUUGCUCUUUAAUCUUCAUUAACACUUGAGUUCUGGAUGCAUUAAGGGGGUGUAGUUCAUGAACCUCCUUUAUGGCAAUAAGCACC